rnacentral:rRNA from 1 species
UUGACAUGCAAGUGGUAGGAACCGAAAGGCGACCGACCCUUCGGGGAGCUUGCACAGGUGCUGCAUGGCUGUCGUCAGCUCGUGUCGUGAGAUGUUCGGUUAAGUCCGCUAACGAGCGCAACCCUCGCUGUGUGUUACAAGUGUCACACGGUACUGCCGGUCUUAAGCCGGAGGAAGGUGGGGAUGACGUCAAGUCAGCAUGGCCUUUAUGUCCUGGGCUACACACACGCUACAAUGGCCAACACAAUAGGUUGCUAAGCCGCGAGGUGGAGCCAAUCCUCAAAGUUGGUCUCAGUUCAGAUUGCAGGCUGCAACCCGCCUGCAUGAAGAUGGAGUUGCUAGUAACCGCAGGUCAGCUAUACUGCGGUGAAUACGUUCCCGGGGCUU